rnacentral:rRNA from 1 species
AGCAGUAGCCACGGGAAUACGAAGGGGGCUAGCGUUGCUCGGAAUGACUGGGCGUAAAGGGCGCGUAGGCGGAUCACGCAGUCAGAUGUGAAAUUCCUGGGCUUAACCUGGGGGCUGCAUUUGAGACGCGUGGUCUAGAGUGUGAAAGAGGGUCGUGGAAUUCCCAGUGUAGAGGUGAAAUUCGUAGAUAUUGGGAAGAACACCGGUGGCGAAGGCGGCGACCUGGUUCAUGACUGACGCUGAGGCGCGAAAGCGUGGGGAGCAAACAGGAUUAGAGACCCGAGUAGUCCCUGUCUCUUAUAC